GACGAACGCUGGCGGCGUGCUUAACACAUGCAAGUCGAACGGAAAGGCCCUGCUUUUGUGGGGUGCUCGAGUGGCGAACGGGUGAGUAACACGUGAGUAACCUGCCCUUGACUUUGGGAUAACUUCAGGAAACUGGGGCUAAUACCGGAUAGGAGCUCCUGCUGCAUGGUGGGGGUUGGAAAGUUUCGGCGGUUGGGGAUGGGCUCGCGGCUUAUCAGCUUGUUGGUGGGGUAGUGGCUUACCAAGGCUUUGACGGGUAGCCGGCCUGAGAGGGUGACCGGCCACAUUGGGACUGCGAUACGGACCAGACUCCUACGGGAGGCAGCAGUGGGGAAUAUUGCACAGUGGGCGGAAGCCUGAUGCAGCAACGCCGCGUGCGGGAUGACGGCCUUCGGGUUGUGAACCGCUUUCGCCUGUGACGAAGCGUGAGUGACGGUAAUGGGUAAAGAAGCACCGGCUAACUACGUG
rnacentral:rRNA from 1 species